CAAUGAAUGAAGCAUGAUAAUGUGCACAAAUUGAAUUGGGUCUCUAGGCAUGCCCUCUCUAAUGCCAUUCGGCUUUGAUUUGGGGGUAUAGUUCUGCAGCAAAACA